ACAUGUUUUUUUGAAAAUAAUUUAAAGUUUAAUCUGCCCCCUGAUNAAAUUAUUAAAGGGCUGCAGUAUUUUGACUGUACAAAGGUAGCAUAAUCAUUAGUCUCUUAAUUGGUGACUUGUAUGAAAGAUUGGAUGAAAUAUAUACUGUCUCUAUUUAAUUUAUAAAAUUUAAUUUUUUAGUAAAAAAGCUAAAAUAAAUUUAAAAGACGAGAAGACCCUAUAGAGUUUAAUAAUUUAUUUAAUUAUUAUUAAUAUAUAAAUUUUAAAAUUAAAAUUAAAUAAAUUAUUUUGUUGGGGUGAUAGAAAAAUUAAAUUAACUUUUUUUUUAUUUUAUACAUUAAUUUAUGAAUAAAUGAUCCAUUAAUAAUGAUUAAAAGAAAAAAUUACCUUAGGGAUAACAGCGUAAUUUUUUUUUUUAGUUCAAAUAGGAAAAAAAGUUUGCGACCUCGAUGUUGGAUUAAGAUAAAAUUUAAAUGCAAAAGUUUAAAAUUUUAAUCUGUUCGAUCAUUAAAAUCUUA
rnacentral:rRNA from 1 species